GGGUGCGAUCAUACCAGCACUAAUGCAUCGGAUCCCAUCAAAACUCUGCAGUUAAGCGUGCUUGGGCGAGAGUAGUACUAGGAUGGGUGACCUCCUGGGAAGUCCUCGUAUUGCAUCUC
rnacentral:rRNA from 1 species